rnacentral:rRNA from 1 species
AUGGAUUACAACCCGGAAGUCUUGUGUUGGAACGUGUGUGGGCUUAACAGCCCGGUGAAGAGGAAAUCCAUGAGAAGCUUUGUGGAGUCGGUUAGGGUUAACUUGGUGUGUAUCCAAGAGACAAAACUAGAUGUUGUGGACCUAUUUUUGAUAAUGGAAUGUUUGGGUCCGUCCUUUGACGGCCUCGCUUACUUACCGGCGGUCGACACGCGGGGUGGCAUCCUGAUUGCAUGG